CCUACGGGAGGCAGCAGUGGGGAAUAUUGCACAAUGGGGGAAACCCUGAUGCAGCGACGCCGCGUGAGUGAAGAAGUAUUUCGGUAUGUAAAGCUCUAUCAGCAGGAACGAGACAAGACGGUACCUGACUAAGAAGCCCCGGCUAACUACGUGCCAGCAGCCGCGGUAAUACGUAGGGGGCAAGCGUUAUCCGGAAUCACUGGGUGUAAAGGGAGCGUAGACGGCUGAGCAAGCCUGAAGUGAAAGGCGGGGGCCCAACCCCCGGACUGCUUUGGGAACUGUACGGCUGGAGUGCAGGAGAGGUAAGUGGAAUUCCUAGUGUAGCGGUGAAAUGCGUAGAUAUCACGCAGAACUCCGAUUGCGAAGGCAGCAUACCGGCGCUCAACUGACGCUCAUGCACGAAAGUGUGGGUAUCGAACAGGAUUAGAUACCCGUGUAGUC
rnacentral:rRNA from 1 species